GUAGGCAUCAACAGCAGCAGCGUUAAGUGCGGAAGUAGGGUCACGGAUUAGGAGGGGCCGUGGUGGACUUGAUGAUGGUAUUUUCCUAAUCAGGAAGAUUGGUUCUUCGGUGAGGAGCGUGAUGAUGGGCUGUGUUGGGUCGAGAUUGAAUCUAAGUCUAGUCUAGUGGUCCCGAUCUAGGCAUCUCCGACUCAGUGAGGAGCGGAGCGGACGGAGGCGGGCAGGGUGGGGGAAGAGGGCAGAGGACGAACUGUCUGGUGGAAGCUUAGUGAUUAAGAACAAGGACGAGCACCUGGAUGGAAGAGUGUUGUUGUCUAUUCUGCGUUUGCCGCAAAGGGACAGACCAGUUGGAUACUGACGAGACUGGCGUCUCAGAUCAGACCCACAGAGAGACAGACAGAGAGAGAGAGGGUGUGUGAGGAAGCAGACGAGCCAGAGACAGCAGCGAUGCAGCUUAGUGGCUCAGGCACCAGUCCGGGCAGCCUUUCCCUUCGCCAUUGCCAGAGAAGGCGAAGCUCUGUGAGCUUAGGCAGAAAUCCAUCUCAGGGAAAGGAUAAGAUUUGGGAAUGGAAUGCGGAAUCCAAGUUGAUGGUAGGUUGUGAACUGAGUUAUUAUUUGAUAUCUCCCAACUGUUCGAUAAAAGUCCCCAACGAUAAAAAAAGGAGGGGACCAUCUCCGCGGCCUUCGACUGGAUGAUAGAUACAAGGAGAAAGGAUAUGAGGGCAAUGUAAUAAAGGAAGAGAUGUAGCCCGCGAUAGUAUAGUGAUGCUCAAAAAGGUCGCGGGGACGGUAGGCUUUUGAGAGCCCAGCAAAAACAGCUACGCGGACAGGGAAAGAGAAACAGAAGAUUGACUGUAUCUGAACUGAGAUCCGGUACCAGAUAUUGUGGUAUUAUUUGACGAAUUUGACGGGGCAACCAAACAAGGGCAUCAGUUUUUCUCACCUACUCCUCCUAUAAUGCAGCUGUAGCAGUUCAAUUCUCUUAGCUGUGGAACUGCAGAGUUCACAUUGCAUGAAGCUCUCCUGCUCAAAAGCACUGUAGCAGUAACAAUAAUAGUAUGCAAACGCUUAUCUUUCUGGUUCUUGGAAAGAUGUGAUGUAUUGAGAGAGGAAUGUUAAGACUAGAGAUUAAUAUGCCUACUGGCUUGAUCUUAUCCUGCACUCUAACUGGCCUAGCAAGCAGUGUUAUACUGGUAUGGUACUAAUUGGCAUCAAGGUAUGGAAAGUAUCAAAUAUUGUUGGUCAAAUGAGGAGUAAGGGCAUUAGGGUCACAACCCACAAGAAGAUGGUGGUAAUGCCAUGGGAAAGGAUAAUGCCUUUAUUUCCAUGUUGGUAGUAGAAGAUCCGUAAUGGUUUGCUCCCAAUGGCAUUGAAAGGUAGUAUAAAUCUGAAACAAAAUCCAAUCAGGCCGCCCCGUCUAGUUUCUGAAACACCGGCGGCAAAUUUGAUGGAAAAAUUAAUUAGAAAUUUUUUCUCUAUCUCCUCUAACGCAUUAAAUUUAGCUGAAAGAUAUGGUGAACUUAGAUUGUUAGAGAUAUGAUACACAAUCAUAAAAUAUUUUAUAGAUUUAGUAACAUUUUAAUUUAGAUUUAGCUUGAGAUGAUGAGUUCCUUUAAACCAGUUAUGACAUUUUGUCAGUGAAUCCGCUAGGCGCUAGCUAAUCAUUAGUUGAUGAAAUAUUGUACAACAUUUUUGUUAGUAUGCAUUUUUUUUUCUUUGAGUAGAAGUUGUGUAUAAAAGCUUGAUAUCAUAGGAGAACUUCAUCCAAUUUUUUUAGAGCAUGUUAUAAUUUAAUCAUCAGUUUUUAUUCUACUAAGAAAUUAAAUUAUUUUUUAAGAGAAUGCAAGACCUCAAUUCCAAGAACCUGCACCUUUAGCAUUAGUAUACACAAUUUAAAGAUGACCUUAAUCUUCAUGAGAUCUUCCCAUUAAAUAUUCCUGAUAUUUAGAUAUUUGUUUUAGUUUGUCUAUUGGAUAAAUUGAAAAUACAAUUUAUAUUCUUAAAGUUAGAGGUUGUAAAGGCGUUUCAUUGCUGGUUGCUAUACCAAGAGUCAGUUUAUGUUUUGCCUUAUCUGUUGGGAUAGACAUUUUUUUUAGAUAUUCGAUGUGUAUUUUGGGUCUUAUAAACUAUAUUUUUUUCACAAAAUAAAAAAUGUGAAGAAAUAGUCUAGUCAACACUAGUUGUAAGUAAAAGUUGAUUAUGCUCAUUUCAAAUGUCUUUUGCAGUCCAUCUCAAAAGGAGCUAAACUAAGAAGUCAGUUUAUAGCUAAUCACCUAAUGUCUAGGGAUAGGAGGAGUUUUUUCAAGGACAAGUACCUAUCGGGAAUUGAUCUAUGCUCCAUUGUAAUAAAUCUAUCAACUUCUAACCAACUGAAUAUUCCAUGGGACAACAUUAGUUGCUACAAAUGAUGGGGGAGGGCGACGGUUUCUCCGGCGAAGUGUACAUUCAGCAGAUCAUAUUCAGCACUCCAGCCAUCAAAAUACAGUUAUCAUUACACCACAAGGUAUGACCGGUCAUACGUGCAUGAGGCAUGCAAUGCUACGGUCCUACUGCUGCCUCCAUUAUCUGACAAACCACAAUGCUUUUAAAUUUAAAAAAUUAUUCCUUUUUUUUUCAUUGGCUUGCUCUGAACAUUAUUCUCGAUCGUUUUCAUCUCGGACUGGUAUCUUGAGAUGGCAGCCGGCGGCGGGAUGGCUCUCAGUGCUCGAGCCGAGGUGGCUGAACACUGUCAUGGACGUCUCGGGGCUUGACGCUGUCAAAGUCGCGGCGGCAACUGCCAUGGCGUUGCUGCAUUUCCAUAGCUUCUCCUUUUUUACCCAUUAUGUUAGAACCAGAAUGAAGAGGAAUGGAGCAAAAAUUAAGCUCUUUCUUUAUCUAUAAAUGAUGAAAAAUUGGAGCUAAAUGGUGACCGAAUUACUUUAUCCACGCAUUUGCUGGAGGCGAGAGCUGCGCGGAAGGACGAAGAUUGAACAGGUAAGAACUCGUACGUAGCAGAGACCAGCGCCGACGCGGCCAUCACCGAUGGUUUGAACUCCAGCAUUUUAACAUCUGCAUUUUUCCUUAUGCAAUCGUCAAUCAAUGGUAAAUUAGAUGGAGAAUCACUGAUAAAGAUUAGAUUUUUUUUUUAUAUCUUCAAAUAAUCAUACCAUUUAGUGCUUUAAGGAGGAUGUCAGCUGCAUGGGCUUGAAGAGCUUGGAGGAAAGAAGUCUGGACCUUCGAGAAGAAUGAGAGGAAGAACGGAAGGAAGGAGAAUGGGGUGAUCGAUCGCAUCCUCCAGUCUAGCGCCCCGAGCACCAGAAGCUCCAUUCUUUGGAUCGUGUGCAAAUUGAAUACAAAUCCUUCAUUUCUCUACCGAAGGAUGAGUUGGGCGAAGCAGUGAAAUCGAUUAGUUUUGAAGUCAUUCAUAAAUCCACCAAAGAAGGAUUUCUCCUCUUGUUUUUUGGAGCAUUACCUGAAUAUCUUCAAGUGCCAUGACAGUCAUCUGCAUCUUUGACGCCAGGGAGAGGCAGGAGACAGAGAGGAGACGAACAAUCCACGGCUUGUCGCUCUGCAACCAUAGAUUGAUCCAUCACUGAUUAUAAAAUGAAAUGGUAUGAAAGGAUCCAUUCAGAUUCGUCUCUUUUAGCAACAUAUGUACCGGGAUUUCGCGUUUGGAGAGGUAACGAUCAAUGUAGUUUACUGCAAGGUAAGCGAUGGCGGGUUUCAAAUUGCAAUCGGACUGCGCCUGCUCAAGGAGACAUCAAGAUGAUGAAGAAAGCUGCUUCCUUUAUUUGCAUUUCUAUUUACAAUAGCUUGUCUACCGUUACCUUAAGAACUAGAGCGACGGCCUCUCGCCUAGCGCGAAGGUCAAUAGCUCCGACGGCAGAUGUUAUUUGAUCGGCCUCAGCAACGAAGAGGUUGGAUAUAGAGAAUGAGCACUGCAGAUCGUCGUAGGAGCUCGUGAGCUGGUUACCAAGAUCAGAAUCCAUUAUUUCUCAAGUAGUAGCAAUUGAAGGUAAAAGUUGGAUGUUUCUUUGGCUGAGAACACAAGGGAAGUAGGAUCAAGGGGAGAGCUUUAUAGGCCAAACUCUUCUAAUACAAAUCACAAACAUGCUAUAAACUGUUGCUGAGUUCCUUCAUCAAUCUCGAGCUUUCUGAAUAAUUCCUUCUCUUCUGCUCGGUGGUGAUGGGAAUGUAAUGGCGACCGAUAGCUUUUCCUAAAAGGUUUCAGGAAAAAUAAAGGCGCAGAGAGAAAAAAAUGGCAGGGGAGACUAUUGAUGUUUGUCGGAGAAGAGUACAGGUGUCACUGUCCUAAUGGCGACAUCGUAUGCUUGGUGGUGCCCACCGGUGCAGAGGUAGGAGUCGAAGAAAAUAUUACUGGUUCUUGAUGAGGACUUGACUUUAGGGAUCACAGAUUUUUUAGCAGGAUUCGUAAUGUGGCUGCAAUGCUCGUUUUCCAUGGUGGUGGAAGUUUUGAUUUUUAACUGCGAAUGGUCAACUCCAGCUCUUCAGCCAUUGACAAAAGUUCGCAUAGAAACAAGGUCAGGGACCUCUUUGCCUUGUUUCCUGAUUGAAGCAAGCCUAUGCCUUCUGUUUCGCUUAUUAGACUGUAGUGUCCAUGCUCCUCAUCCCGCUUUUGAGUGUGGCUCAUGAAUGCAAAAGGAAAUUUCUUCAAUUUUUAUCCUGCCACAAGCAGCUCUUGACAGCUAUCCUGCAAUGUCCUUUCGAGCCAGUGCAGGAGAAAAAGCUGCGUAUAAGAUAUCCCAUGUGAAAUUUACAACAACUCACGCAGUGCCUCACCUCAGUAGCUGCCGUUGGCCAGAGAUGGGGUCUACUGUAUAGCAACAUACAGUAGUGAAAAGUUAUACCAUAACAAUCCAGUCAAAUCCUAUUAGAGCUCUAUUUUUUUUACUGAUUCUAAGUCGAGACUUUCAAGAGUGGUACACCGACAAUGAGAUGAUGAUGUUGGCUGCUGUCAUUGGAGUCCGCAAAAGAAAAGAGGUCGAAGGGAGGAAUCAUCGUCUUCUCCAGCACUUGGAUAAUCACAUCAAAUGGAAAGGAGUUAGAAUGAUACUGGGAUAUCUUAACAUUGCCACUCUAAUGCCCAAGUUAGAAUCAACAGAGAGAGGUAGAAGAAUAAUGUAGACAAUAAGUAAUAGACUUCUUGAGAUCAACAUAUCCUUUCCCUCUCCCUGCCGACUCCAUUUUAUAUUCUUCAUUGAUAGCCUUUGGCCUUCUAUAUAUUAAUGCAUGGUCUUUAUAAUUUCGAUGACUUUUGAUCUUUUCUUGUAUUAAUGAUCAAUGGUCUUUACGAUUUUCAUGG